GCUCUCAGCUUAUUUUGCGCAGCUUAGGUGGGAGACGUUGAACUUCUUUUUCCGGAAAGGAGGGAGUCAUCAGUGAGAUACCACUCUUGGUAAGCUAGAGCGCUCAUUUCUAACCGUUAUCCGGUAGAAAGACAGUUUCAGGCGGGCAGUUUGACUGGGGCAGUCACCUCCCAAAAGGUAAUGGAGGUGUACAAAGGUUCGCUCAGGCUGGACGGAAAUCAGCCAUAGAGUGUAAAAGCAUAAGCGAGCUUGACUGCGAGACUGACAUGUCAAGCAGAGACGAAAGUCGGUUUUAGUGAUCCGACGGUGCUGAGUGGAAAGGCCGUCGCUCGACGGAUAAAAGUUACUCUAGGGAUAACA
rnacentral:rRNA from 1 species